UAGGGAAUCUUCCGCAAUGGACGAAAGUCUGACGGAGCAACGCCGCGUGAGUGAAGAAGGAUUUCGGUUCGUAAAACUCUGUUGUUAGGGAAGAAAAAAUGUAUAGUAACUAUAUACAAAAGAGACGGUACCUAACCAGAAAGCCACGGCUAACUACGUGCCAGCAGCCGCGGUAAUACGUAGGUGGCAAGCGUUGUCCGGAAUUAUUGGGCGUAAAGCGCGCGCAGGUGGUUUAGAAAGUCUGAUGUGAAAGCCCACGGCUCAACCGUGGAGGGUCAUUGGAAACUAAUAAACUUGAGUGCAGGAGAGAAAAGUGGAAUUCCUAGUGUAGCGGUGAAAUGCGUAGAGAUUAGGAGGAACACCGGUGGCGAAAGCGGCUUUUUGGCCUGCAACUGACACUGAUGCGCGAAAGCGUGGGGAGCAAACAGG
rnacentral:rRNA from 1 species